CGCAUUAAGUACCCCGCCUGGGGAGUACGGCCGCAAGGCUAAAACUCAAAGGAAUUGACGGGGCCCCGCACAAGCGGCGGAGCAUGCGGAUUAAUUCGAUGCAACGCGAAGAACCUUACCUGGGUUUGACAUAUAUCGGAAACGUUCAGAGAUGGGCGCCCCGUAAGGUCGGUAUACAGGUGGUGCAUGGCUGUCGUCAGCUCGUGUCGUGAGAUGUUGGGUUAAGUCCCGCAACGAGCGCAACCCUCGUCCAAUGUUGCCAGCGGGUUAUGCCGGGGACUCAUUGGAGACCGCCGGGGUCAACUCGGAGGAAGGUGGGGAUGACGUCAAGUCAUCAUGCCCCUUAUGUCCAGGGCUUCACGCAUGCUACAAUGGCCGGUACAAAGAGUUGCGAGCCUGNNNGGGUGAGCGAAUCUCAAAAAGCCGGUCUCAGUUCGGAUUGGGGUCUGCAACUCGACCCCAUGAAGUCGGAGUCGCUAGUAAUCGCAGAUCAGCAACGCUGCGGUGAAUACGUUCCCGGGGCUUGUACACACCGCCCGUCAAGUCAUGAAAGUCGGUAACACCCGAAGCCGGNNNNNNNNNCUUUUUGGGGGGAGCUGUCUAAGGUGGGAUCGGUGAUUAGAAGGAAGUCGUAACAAGGUAGCC
rnacentral:rRNA from 1 species